rnacentral:rRNA from 1 species
UACAGAGGGGGGCAAGCGUUGUUCGGAAUUACUGGGCGUAAAGGGCGCGUAGGCGGCCGCCUAAGUCAGACGUGAAAUCCCUCGGCUCAACCGGGGAACUGCGUCUGAUACUGGGUGGCUUGAAUCCGGGAGAGGGAUGCGGAAUUCCAGGUGUAGCGGUGAAAUGCGUAGAUAUCUGGAGGAACACCGGUGGCGAAGGCGGCAUCCUGGACCGGCAUUGACGCUGAGGCGCGAAAGCCAGGGGAGCAAAGCGGG